AUUGAACGHUGGGGAUGCCUAACACAUGCAAGUCGAACGGAGGGCUUCGGCCCUCAGUGGCGGACGGGUGAGUAACGCGUAGGGAUCUGCCCCGCAGUGGGGGACAACCUGGGGAAACUCAGGCUAAUACCGCAUACGCUCCAUGGAGGAAAGCGGGGGACCUUCGGGCCUCGCGCUGCGGGAUGAACHUACGUCCGAUUAGCUAGUUGGUGGGGUAAGGGCCCACCAAGGCGACGAUCGGUAGCUGGUCUGAGAGGACGGCCAGCCACACUGGGACUGAGACACGGCCCAGACUCCUACGGGAGGCAGCAGUGGGGAAUAUUGGACAAUGGGCGCAAGCCUGAUCCAGCAAUGCCGCGUGGGUGAAGACGGCCUWCGGGUUGUAAAGC
rnacentral:rRNA from 1 species